rnacentral:rRNA from 1 species
CAGGCCUAACACAUGCAAGUCGAGCGGACUUAUCCUUCGGGAUAGGUUAGCGGCGGACGGGUGAGUAACACGUAGGCAACCUGCCUGUAAGAUCGGGAUAACUACCGGAAACGGUAGCUAAGACCGGAUAGCUGGUUUCUCCGCAUGGGGGGAAUCAUGAAACAUGGGGCAACCUAUGGCUUACGGAUGGGCCUGCGGCGCAUUAGCUAGUUGGUGGGGUAAUGGCCCACCAAGGCGACGAUGCGUAGCCGACCUGAGAGGGUGAUCGGCCACACUGGGACUGAGACACGGCCCAGACUCCUACGGGAGGCAGCAGUAGGGAAUCUUCCGCAAUGGGCGCAAGCCUGACGGAGCAACGCCGCGUGAGUGAUGAAGGUUUUCGGAUCGUAAAGCUCUGUUGCCAAGGAAGAACGCCUCGGAGAGUAACUGCUCUGAGGGUGACGGUACUUGAGAAGAAAGCCCCGGCUAACUACGUGCCAGCAGCCGCGGUAAUACGUAGGGGGCAAGCGUUGUCCGGAAUUAUUGGGCGUAAAGCGCGCGCAGGCGGUCUUUUAAGUUGGGUGUUUAAGCCCGGGGCUCAACCCCGGUUCGCACUGAAAACUGGGAGACUUGAGUGCAGGAGAGGAAAGCGGAAUUCCACGUGUAGCGGUGAAAUGCGUAGAGAUGUGGAGGAACACCAGUGGCGAAGGCGGCUUUCUGGACUGUAACUGACGCUGAGGCGCGAAAGCGUGGGGAGCAAACAGGAUUAGA